UACGUAGGGGGCGAGCGUUGUCCGGAUUUACUGGGCGUAAAGGGUGAGUAGGCGGUUAUUUAAGUCAGAUGUAAAAGGCGCAGGCUUAACUUACGUAAGCAUCUGAUACUGGGUAACUUGAGUGCAGGAGAGGUAAGUGGAAUUCCUAGUGUAGCGGUGAAAUGCGUAGAUAUUAGGAGGAACACCAGUGGCGAAGGCGACUUACUGGACUGUAACUGACGCUGAGUCACGUAAGCGUGGGUAGCAAACA
rnacentral:rRNA from 1 species